rnacentral:rRNA from 1 species
UACGUAGGGGGCUAGCGUUGUCCGGAUUUAUUGGGCGUAAAGAGCGUGUAGGCGGCCAGGUAGGUCUGCUGUGAAAACUCGAGGCUCAACCUCGAGACGUCGGCGGAAACCAUCUGGCUAGAGUCCGGAAGAGGAGAGUGGAAUUCCUGGUGUAGCGGUGAAAUGCGCAGAUAUCAGGAAGAACACCCGUGGCGGAGGCGGCUCUCUGGGACGGUACUGACGCUGAGACGCGAAAGCGUGGGGAGCGAACAGG